rnacentral:misc_RNA from 1 species
UGGCUCUGGCAUCGAUGAAGAACGCAGCGAAACGCGAUAUGUAAUGUGAAUUGCAGACUUUAGUGAAUCAUCGAAUCUUUGAACGCACAUUGCGCCCCAUGGCAUUCCGUGGGGCAUGCCUGUUCGAGCGUCAUUACAACCUCUCCAGCCCCGCUGGGUCUUGGGGCUUGCCUUCCCGGGCAUCCCCUAAAACGAGAUGCGGCGCCGCGUCGGCUCCAAGCGUAGUACUCCUCUCGCUUCUGGGUCCGUCGUGGCGUCGGCUAUAGAACCCCCUCUCUCCAUGGUUGACCUCGAAUCAGGUAGGGAUACCCGCUGA